GUCUACAGCCAUACCAUCCUGAACGUGCCCAAUCUCGUCUGACCUCGGAAACUAAGCAGAGUUGGGCCUGGUUAGUACUUGGAUGGGAAACCACCUAGGAAUACCAGGUGCUGUAGAUU
rnacentral:rRNA from 1 species